AACCACUGUUAUCAGCAUGAACGACUAGCGGAAUGAGUUCAAAUACAACUGAUAUUGAUGUGACGCUUGUCGAUUAUUUUGCCGUUGCCGGUUACGACCCAGAUAUAGGACUUGUGGUAACUAAUUUUUUAAAUAAUAAUUAGAAAAUAUAACAUUUUAAUUUAUCCAGUUUUUUUUAAAAACUAAUUUAUUCUUGAUAAAUCCAAGGCACUUUAAAACAAUUAAGAAAACCAUGUUUUAUUUUACGCAGGAUUUGUGCAAGAUUGCAGCAAGAAUCCUUAAUUCCUAUUAAUUUCUAUUCAAGAAUAUGCACAUAGGAGAUGCACUUUACACAAAAGGUUUCACUUCAUUUUGGACUUUUUUAUUUUUGCCAGAGUAGCGCCCGAAAAAGAUUUAAAUUCGAUUAAAUAAUAAAAAUAUAAUUUUUCUCAUUGAUUUUUUUAAAAUUAAUUAAUCUUUAAAUUCAGGUGGACACUAAAUAUGAUCCUGGCCAUACACCAUGCGAAUCCCCUGGAAGUUCUGCUCCAGAAUUCCGGCCGCCUCUUCAACGAUCUUUUGUCGCCAAAAUAAUCAACCAUUUCCCUCAACGAAGGCCUGGAAAUCCAUUUUCUGACGAUAUUCUUCAUGUUAGUAAUUCAAAAUUACAAUAUUCCAAUAUUUAUUCAAUUUUCAGUUAUGUAUGCCGAGAGGUCUCCGGUUUUACACCGAAAAAGAUGUUCCAAAAAAGCUAAUGAUUCACACAUUUGCAAAUAUCAAGGAGGAUGGCUCGCGAAUAAAUGGAACUGCUUUAACGUUUUACGAAGAAGUCAAAGAUUUAGCGAUUUGUGAUGCAAUGGCUCAAUUACAACAGGAUCAUGUCAGAGAGAUCACUGCAAGGCAUAAUGGAAUUAUUGAAAAGCAACAAAGAAUACAUCAUCCACCGGGAACUGUUUCAGG
rnacentral:sRNA from 1 species